UUUUGGACAAUGGGGGCAACCCUGAUCCAGCAAUGCCGCGUGAGUGAAGAAGGCCUUCGGGUUGUAAAGCUCUUUUGUCAGGGAAGAAACACCGGCUCUAACACAGUCCGGGAAUGACGGUACCUGAAGAAUAAGCACCGGCUAACUACGUGCCAGCAGCCGCGGUAAUAUGUAGGGUGCAAGCGUUAAUCGGAAUUACUGGGCGUAAAGCGUGCGCAGGCGGUUAUACAAGACAGGCGUGAAAUCCCCGGGCUUAACCUGGGAAUGGCGCCUGUGACUGUAUAGCUAGAGUGUGUCAGAGGGGGGUAGAAUUCCACGUGUAGCAGUGAAAUGCGUAGAUAUGUGGAGGAAUACCAAUGGCGAAGGCAGCCCCCUGGGAUAACACUGACGCUCAUGCACGAA
rnacentral:rRNA from 1 species